rnacentral:rRNA from 1 species
GACGAACGCUGGCGGCGUGCUUAACACAUGCAAGUCGAGCGGUAAGGCCCUUUCGGGGGUACGACGAGCGGCGAACGGGUAGAGUAACACGUGGGUGGACCUGCCCUCCAGCUCUGGGAGUAAGCCUGGGAAACCGGGUCUAAUACUGGAUAUGACUCCAUGACGCAUGUUGUGGGGUGGAAAGCCUUGUGCGGCUGAGGAUGGGCCCGCGGCCUAUCAGCUUGUUGGUGGGGUGAUGGCCUACCAAGGCGACGACGGGUAGCCGGCCUGAGAGGGCGACCGGCCACACUGGGACUGAGACACGGCCCAGACUCCUACGGGAGGCAGCAGUGGGGAAUCUUGCGCAAUGGGCGAAAGCCUGACGCAGCGACGCCGCGUGAGGGAUGACGG